GUCUCUAUAGUUCAGUGGAAGAACGUGUGCUUAACAUCUCGACUUCGGUCGGAUAUCACGCACAAGGUCGUGAGAUCGAAACUCACUAGGGAUA